GAGUUUGAUCCUGGCUCAGGACGAACGCUGGCGGCGUGCCUAACACAUGCAAGUCGAACGAAGCUUGACGAACGAUUCUUCGGAUGAAUUCUGAUAUGACUGAGUGGCGGACGGGUGAGUAACGCGUGAGCAACCUGCCCUUCAGAGGGGGAUAGUGUCUGGAAACGGACAGUAAUACCGCAUAACGUACAUUGAUGGCAUCUUCGAUGUACCAAAGCUUUUGCGCUGAAGGAUGGGCUCGCGUCUGAUUAGAUAGUUGGUGGGGUAAUGGCCUACCAAGUCGACGAUCAGUAGCCGGACUGAGAGGUUGAACGGCCACAUUGGGACUGAGACACGGCCCAGACUCCUACGGGAGGCAGCAGUGGGGAAUAUUGCACAAUGGGCGCAAGCCUGAUGCAGCAACGCCGCGUGGAGGAAGACGGUUUUCGGAUUGUAAACUCCUGUUCUUAGUGAAGAAUAAUGACGGUAGCUAAGGAGCAAGCCACGGCUAACUACGUGCCAGCCGCCGCGGUAAUAC
rnacentral:rRNA from 1 species